AGAUUGAACGCUGGCGGCAGGCCUAACACAUGCAAGUCGAGCGGCAGCACGGGUACUUGUACCUGGUGGCGAGCGGCGGACGGGUGAGUAAUGCCUAGGAAUCUGCUUAGUGGUGGGGGAUAACGUUCGGAAACGGACGCUAAUACCGCAUACGUCCUACGGGAGAAAGGCGGGGGACCUUCGGGCCUCGCGCCAUUAGAUGAGCCUAGGUCGGAUUAGCUAGUUGGUGAGGUAAUGGCUCACCAAGGCGACGAUCCGUAACUGGUCUGAGAGGAUGAUCAGUCACACGUGGAACUGAGACACGGUCCAGACUCCGUACGGGAGCAGCGAGGUAGGGUAAUAGUUGGAACAGUGGGACGAAACGCCUAGGACUCCGAGGCCGUGCCGCGUGUGUAGAGUAAGGUC
rnacentral:rRNA from 1 species